UGGGGAAUCUUGCGCAAUGGGCGAAAGCCUGACGCAGCGACGCCGCGUGAGUGAUGAAGGCCUUCGGGUUGUAAAGCUCUGUGGAGAGGGACGAAUAAGGGCUGGCUAACAUCCAGCUUGAUGACGGUACCUCUUUAGCAAGCACCGGCUAACUCUUUGCCAGCAGCCGCGGUAAGACAGAGGGUGCAAACGUUGUUCGGAAUUACUGGGCGUAAAGCGCGUGUAGGCUGCUUCGCAAGUCGGGUGUGAAAGCCCUGGGCUCAACCUAGGAAGUGCACUCGAAACUGCGAAGCUGGAGUCCUGGAGAGGAAGGCGGAAUUCUCGGUGUAGAGGUGAAAUUCGUAGAUAUCGAGAGGAACACCGGUGGCGAAGGCGGCCUUCUGGACAGUGACUGACGCUGAGACGCGAAAGCGUGGGGAGCAAAC
rnacentral:rRNA from 1 species